UUCUUAGUAAUAUAAUUUGGAUAUUCAGGAUAGAGUGUUCCUUCCUCUGAGACCAUGCAGAGAAUCAAGGAAGUGCUGGCAUUAGAGGCUGUUUAACACACAGCCUAUCUUAAUUGUUGCUUGAGCCUCCAUGGCACUUUUCACAGUUAAUAUAUUCAUUUUGGCAAUCUAGCCAGUGGUGUAUUUAGGAAAUUGCAGUUUUCCUAUAUAAAAUUUCCUAUUCAAAAUAUAACUGGAAAAUAUACUAAUUCUUCCCUAUUGCAUACCAUAGACUACUGAGAGACAGUUUUAGCUUUAUCGUUUCUGAUGUGGACUCCUCUCUAGCUCCUAAAUUAAUUAAACGAAACCAAUGGGAUAGAUUAAAAUUCACAUUGGCUUCAGGAAAAAAAGUAACCCUUGUCUAUCGCAGGAGGCUGGCAGCAACAGAUUACAGAUUUAGGAAGCCUUGUUCCUGGUCUUUUCUACAGUUUCAUUAAAAAACAUGCACGCUAACUGUGGAAAUGGGAGGCAACCUACAAAAAAUGUGUUAUUAUGAGAGUCUGAGACAUUGUAUUUGUGCAUACAGCAGGGAAAACUUUAUUGAAAUGACUGCUAAAAGCAGCCCAAGAGCAAUGUGGGGAAUGAGAGGGAGGAAAAUCCAGAGCCAGUGUCUCGUAAGGAGAGCAGUGGAGUUGGAGUCAGACGUGCAGAAAGGAGAAGAGGUGAGGGUCAGAAAGAUAGAAAGGAGAGAGAGCAGCACUGGGAGAAGACAUGAGAAAUUAGAUCAGAAUCUAAAAGCACUCAGGAGAGCAAGGGAAAAGGCAGAAAUUAGAACAGGAGCUAAGAGGAGAGCCGAAGAGGCAAUAAAAACUCAAGGAGGAGAAAGAAAAACUGCAAGAUGAAGGGAGGAGGACGAGAAAAAAAAGACAGGAGAUAUAUAUGAGGCAACAUAAAAGGCCCUUGACCUCCAGUUUGUAAAGGUGACGUGAUCUGUGCUGUGGAAGAAAAGAAAUACUUUGCAUUUUUUGAAAUGACCAUGAAGAGAGAACCAGGCUACAUCUCAGAAAUCAAUAUCGCAUUUUAUGCCUGCUGCACCCUUCACGAAGAAUCAAGACAACAUUGAUUCAAAAAGGAAAACUGAUGAGGAGAUGCUGAGCAUGUUACACAAGCCCACACAGGACCUCGGUCUCAAGUGAUGCUCAGGGAGAAGAACAGCACAUACGAGGAGGAGAGCCAGCAUGCCGGUGACCAAGAGACUACCACUAGAGAUAAAGCCUGGGGACCGUGUCAAGGGACAGAGAGAAGCUGAUGGAUCAGUCAGUAAAGCAAGCACCAUGCAUCCCUGUUGACCGCACAUCUUUGAAGGCAGAAGCCCUUUGGCCCCUGGUCGUGUUAGAAAGAUUUUGAACGUUAGUACAAGUAUUGUGCUUGUAUCUACUUUUUCUGAGUUUUGUUUUCUGUUUUGUUGGGGUUUUUUUACUAGGUAGAGACUUGUCUUUUUCUCAGUACCUUUCUAUGUAUUACUUGGAAGCAUCUAAAUGUGAGUAACUCACCUGGAAUCUGUAGAAGGAUAUUUGAAUGAUUCAUAUCUGAGACAAGAAUAACUUCUCAUGAAAUCCAGGAUGGAAAUGACUGCAUGGUUUAAAACACACCUUCCUGUAUCACUGCUGUUGCAGCAGGAAGGAAUGCUUCUGAGUAGUUUAAGUCCAAAUGACUAAAUAAAUUGUUUCAAAGCAACAGCAGUAGCACAGAGGGCAUAAGUUGCUGAUAUUAAGUAAUUACUAGACCUCAGUAUGUCAUCGAUUUCAUUUAAAAGAAAAAAAAAAUAAAGAUACAUAUAUAAAAAACACAUCUGUUAUC